rnacentral:tRNA from 1 species
GGGAGUAACUCAGUGGUAGAGCGUAACCUUGCCAAGGUUGAGGUCGAGGGUUCGAAUCCCUUCUCCC